rnacentral:rRNA from 1 species
AAUCAACGCUGGCGGCGUGCCUCAGACAUGCAAGUCGAACGCGAAAGUUUCCUUCGGGGAACAAGUAGAGUGGCGCACGGGUGAGUAACACGUAGGUAAUCUACCUUUGGAUGGGGAAUAACAACCGGAAACGGUUGCUAAUACCGCAUAAUGCAGCGGCACCUAAUGGUGACAGUUGUUAAAGCGGGGGAUCGAAAGACCUCGCGUCUGAAGAGGAGCCUGCGGCGGAUUAGCUAGNGGUUAAGGUAAUGGCUUACCAAGGCGACGAUCCGUAACCGGCCUGAGAGGGCGGUCGGCCACACUGACACUGACAUACGGGUCAGACUCCUACGGGAGGCAGCAGUCGGGAAUUUUGGCAAUGGGCGAAAGCCUGACCCAGCAACGCCGCGUGAAGGAUGAAAUCCCUCGGGAUGUAAACUUCGCAAGAACGGGAAGAAUAAGCGAGAGUUAAUAUCUUUCGUGAUGACGGUACCGUUUGUAAGCUCCGGCUAACUCCGUG